rnacentral:rRNA from 1 species
AUUGAACGCUGGCGGCAGGCUUAACACAUGCAAGUCGAGCGGGGGAAGGUAGCUUGCUACCGGACCUAGCGGCGGACGGGUGAGUAAUGCUUAGGAAUCUGCCUAUUAGUGGGGGACAACAUCUCGAAAGGGAUGCUAAUACCGCAUACGUCCUACGGGAGAAAGCAGGGGAUCUUCGGACCUUGCGCUAAUAGAUGAGCCUAAGUCAGAUUAGCUAGUUGGUGGGGUAAAGGCCUACCAAGGCGACGAUCUGUAGCGGGUCUGAGAGGAGGAUCCGCCACACUGGGACUGAGACACGGCCCAGACUCCUACGGGAGGCAGCAGUGGGGAAUAUUGGACAAUUGGGGGAACCCUGAUCCAGCAAUGCCGCGUGUGUGAAGAAGGCCUUAUGGUUGUAAAGCACUUUAAGCGAGGAGGAGGCUACUUUAGUUAAUACCUAGAGAUAGUGGACGUUACUCGCAGAAUAAGCACCGGCUAACUCUGUGCCAGCCGCCGCCGUAA